AUGCUCGCUGUGGCAGCACAUGUACUAAGUUGGAACAAUACAGAGAAGACUAUCAUGACCCCUGUGCAAGGAUGAUGCGCAAAUUCGUGAAGCGUUCCAUGUUUUU